CGAAGUUUGGAGUAACACCAAGUGAUGCGGGAAAAACACCCCGAGAGCAGAAAACCCUCCUGCAGACACAACCCCUGCUGCUGCACACAGGUUGAUCAUGGUUGCCGCCACCCGCUCCCUCCUGGCGCUGCUGCUCUGCCAGGUGCUGCUGGGCGGCGCGGCCGGCCUCAUGCCGGAGGUGGGACGGCGGCGCUUCAGCGAGCCGGGCCGCGCCGCCCCGGCCGCGCAGCGCCCCGAGGAUCUCCUCAGCGAGUUCGAGCUGCGCCUGCUCCACAUGUUUGGGCUGAAGCGGCGUCCCAGCCCCAGCAAGGACGUCGUCAUCCCUCCCUACAUGCUGGACCUCUACCGCCUGCACGCUGGCCAGCAGCUGGGGCAGCCGCAGGCCCUCGGCUACCCUCUGGAGCGGGCCGCCAGCCGCGCCAACACCGUCCGCAGCUUCCACCACGAAGAAGUUUUGGAAGAACUGCCAGAAACAAGUGGGAAAACAGCACGGCGUUUCUUCUUUAAUUUAACUUCCAUUCCUAAUGAGGAGUCUAUCACCUCAGCUGAACUCCAGAUUUUUCGGAAACAGGUGCACGGAGGUUUUGAGGACAGCAGCAGCUACCAUCACCGUAUUAAUAUUUAUGAAAUUAUAAAGCCAGCCACAUCCACCUCUAAGGACCCUGUCACAAGACUUUUGGACACCAGGAACGCAAGGGGUAACAAAACCAGGGAAGGAUGGAAGGGAUGGAGGAGCCCUGCUUGUGCCUGGCACGCUGCUUGCGGACUUAGCAGUCUGACUCCUGCUCCAAGCCCUUCCUUGAGACUACUGCCUGACCUCAGAAAUUUAACAUGACCUGGACAGUUAAGCUACCAGGAUAUGGAUUUUCUUUCCGGUAGUUAAAGGGAGGAACUUCCUUACACACUUUUAUCUACUUAGAAAUACCAACAAACACGUGCUGUGUGGCCUUACAUUGGAUAAGGAGUAGAAUAGAGGUCAACUUUUCAUCAAGAAUCUGAGAAUCAAAGUAGAACUUCUAUAGCAACCGCAAACGACAUCCUCACAUCAAAAACAAAAGAAGAAGAGAAAAUGGAAAAAAAAAAAACAAAAAGAAAAAAAUUGACCAAGCUCACAAAGAGUAACAAUCUAGCACUACUCUAUGAAGAGCUGGCAUUUCUGAGUGAAACAGAUUCCACACAGUACCAUUUGGACAGAAGGUAAGUCCAAACAUCUUAAAAAAAUAAACCCUGCAGAAAUUGUUUCCCAGCAUUGUUCUCAGAAGGCCGGUCCUGCCCCGAGCCAACAGAGCUCCAAGGACCCAUGGCCGAGGACCUUCAUCUCAGGAAAACAGAUCUGGGACGCUGACUUCCAUGAGGAUGGCAGCAUGUUUCAGGCAUAGUCCACCCAGAAACACUCCCAGCAGACUUGCCUCCUCCAGGAGCAAGGACACAGGUACAGAGAUGGCUGGUGAAGGAGUCUGGUCCUCACAGGAGGUGUCUGCUUGGAGGACAAGGUGCCUCCUGUGCCUUCCCUAAACCCUGAGCACCUGGAACAAGUUGGGGCCUGGCCCAGCUCUGACUUGUCCUGACACUGCUGACUUUAUUUGUGUGAUGAGCCUCUAUGCUGCACUUACAGGAACGCUUUAGCUGUAACCCACAAAGCCCAGCCCGGUCAGAAUUAAUAUUGAACUCAAUCCCUAGUAGCUUCCCUUAGACAUCAGCAUUCCAGCACAUGUAAUAUGAUGAAAACAAAUUUCAUGCCAUGAAAGCAGAAAUAUGGGUGAGGUCUGGGAGCAUAGUUAGGAUGUGGUUUUCAUAAGCACUCAGCGCUGGCUUAACUCUGCUCCUAUUACAGUUAAGGGUAAGAAAGCCCCAUUGACUUCAAUGGGAGCGGAAUUAGGCCAGCACUGAGUGGUUUUGAAAAUCCCACCCUUAGCUUUUAUAUAACACAGAAAAUAAGAAUCACAUGUAAACCUUCAGAGGGUAAUUGGCUCAUUAAAAUGCGUAUCAUUAUUUAUUUUAGCCACCAUUUUUAAUUUGAAGAUUUGUGGCACUGACAGAUGCGGACUGACAAUAGCUGGGGAACACCCUCCAGCUGGGGAGGGCUGAACCUCUCUGGGGAAUGGAGCACGACACCAGGGAAGUCACAGGGCCAGCUGAAAGCAACGUGUUGACACUGUUCUCAGUUAAAAGCAGUGUCUUUAAAAACAAACAAAAAAAAUCAAACGUGUUUGUAGAAAUGUCUUUUUUUUGGGGAAAGAACUUUCCCUUGGAAGGACCAAAGUGUCCUACCUCCAUCUAAAAGCCCACUUUAAUGUUCUUUUGUUCUUCCUGAUUUGUGACAAAAAUAUCUCUGUGGCUGGAAGACAAACAAAUAUCUUCAUUUCCCCUCUGCCUUUGGAAUGAACUCUACCGAAGUUGUACAGGAAAAUGUAGACUCAAGGUUUUCGCCGGUGAUGGGAAGGUGCUGGUGUCCUGGCUGCCCAUCAUGGUCUGUCCUGCUGGGAUCACAGGUACAAGAUGGGACAUGGUGUGACGCAGGGCUGGAGGGGCAGGAUUCACUGCAUCAACCUGGAAUGCAUUAUUCACCUGCACAUCUUCCAGGAGAAAAAAAAAACAAAACCAAAAAACCAAAAAACCAACCAAACAUUGUUUAAAGUCCGUAAAACCCCAAGCUGUUCACUGAAGGGGAGGGAGCUUUGGAGCAUGUCAUCGUUUCCUCAGGUGGUCUCAACAGGGAGUAGAACACGAGGUGGCUUCCAAGGGGCCUGCACCCCCUUGAUCAAGUCUGUGGGGGUCACACAAAGGCAACUGCCUUUGCUUGUCUCUGGGUGCGUGGGGACCUGGUAUGCCCUCGGCGUGGCAGUGAGUCAGGAAUGACUCAUGAAGAGGACUGACUUGUUCUCAGGCACUCAGGAAGCUCGAAUGGAGGAAGAGGACAACCAGGACACGAAGGCAUUUUAGUUGUGCAAGAGGAGAGGCUGCUGAGUUUAUUCACUAGCAGCAGCAGAGCAAAAAGCAGGGGCAAUGCAGUAUUUCAGGGCUUUGCCAUCAUCAGUGGGGAUAGAGGGAUACAGCCACUGACCUGUUGCUUUCUGACCCCAAGUGCUCCAGCCGAAUGUGGGACCUCCCUGCAUGUUCUGAAUGGAAAGUGCUGUCAGCUUAAUCCUGAUGCUGUCAGCAGAGCAUUUAUCAAGCCAAUGUAUCAGGUAGGAAUAAAAACAACAUGCGUCCUUUAGAGCAAUGCGGUUAGUCCUCCCGUCACUCCCAAAUCACUGCUUAUUUCCCUCUGCCCUGCCCUGGUCCUAGACGUGCUGAUGGCAAGCAUUUUGCUGAUGCCCUAGCUGUACGUUCCUGCUGUCAGAGCGUUAGGCCCCUGCCAUGUAAAGCCUUACAUGCACCCUUCACAUCAGUUGCUUCUCCACACUAGGGCUCCAUGGGUCAGGCUCAGUUGCUUCUGGUCAGGCUCAGGUGGGGACAGCUCUGCAGAGAACAGGUAUAGUCUCUGCUCCCAUCAUUGCACAGGCAUUUAGCACAAAAACCACCACAAUGCACAAGCCGUUAACAGUGCUGGGCACAGGGACUGGAGCUGCAGGGGAGAUGUCACCACCCUACCUGGAGUUCAGACUCCUCAUUCACCUCUGAAAGUGCAGGGAAAGUUUCUGAGCCCCUUGCUGAAACUUUACCUGUGGUGAGAAAACUGGGGAAGCCCAGCUGAGGUCCCUGGCACCCGUAACUCAAGCAGGCUCUUUAUCGGCCACAUGAGUUGUGACCCUUGGAGACUUCAGGCUAUUGGGGGAAAGGAUGCUUUAUCAAACAUUUUUGCCACAGCAGUCACAGGGGGUCUCUUUGCCAGGUUCCUUCACUCUUUCCCCUGCUUUAUUUGCACAGAUGUUUUUGCCAAGGCUUGUCAUCAAAUUGGGGAGGGGGCAGUUGAAAAAAAAAAUAAAAUAAAAAUGACCAAACAAGUUGAAGAAAUUGCAAACAGUAAAUCUGGCGCUUGCUAGACUGAGCCCAAUAAGUUGCUGAGGUUGUACUUUUCAGAUUCAGUUUUAGGCUCUUGUAAAUUUUCAGUUAUUUUAACCCACCUUUCUGAGCAAGCCUAGGAAUGAGAAAGUAAUCGUUUCAUCAACUCAGGCUAUAUAAAUCUCCUUGGGGUUUAUUAUUUGCUGUUUCAUUUUACUGGCACAAGAGCUCCUAUGAAAGUACAAUAACCUACUCGUUGAUUUACAACUUGGAAGCAGGCACACACUGAAAAACCGAGUGCAUAGCACCUGAGGAAAAGUGCACUGAGUUAAUUGAAAAGCUUCAGGAAACUAGAAUUCCUCGCAGUGAUACUGUCACAUGCGUCAGUCACCAGAUGUAACUCCAAUUUUCUGCUUUCAUAAUAAGAAUUCAAUUGAUAUCCCCAGAAAUAAAAAUCUGCAGCCAGAAUAACAGCACAUUUAUCAUGAGCAGGUUUAAACCUCAGAAGACAGCUGUGUACAGCCCUCAGCAGAGUGGUUGGUAAGUGCUGUGGGUGCUUUUUCUUUUUUAUAUGAGUGUACUUUUGUGCAUAUACCUAUACAUACAGACGCACAGACAUAUAUAACUCCCAAGGAAGUCUAAGAUUAGAAAAAAGAUGUUGUCUCUGGAGAGUUACUCCUAUAGCUGCGGUUAAACAUCACUGCCCUUAUUCCUUUUUAAUCGUUCUUCUUUCUCCACUGACCCCACACCUGCAUCUUUCUGUCUUACAUGCAGACUUUUCCUGCAGUCCUGACCCAUGCCGUUGCUUGCUGGGUAAAAGGGGAUAUUUUCCAAGUGGGCCAUUGCCUUUGAUUAGAAGCAGACAUGCUUUGAGCAGCACCACACAACGCUGCUAACUCCUUCAUACGGCUACCUACAAACACUCAGUGAUAAUGAAGCCCAUCUAAUGCCUGUUGGGUGUGUACAUGUUGCAAUUCUGCCAAAACAGAGUGGUAGGGAAACACCAGGCAAUAUUAGCACAUCUCUCCAUUUUGUACAAGUGGGUAGCAACAGACUUGCUGCACAGGGAAACACAGCCAGACGCUGUUGACCAAAGUCCCACUCCUGUCAGAUGGAGGGUGCCAGCUGUGGCUGCCCUUGGGGAGCUUGGUCACAGCUCUCCAUGUGCUCCCUUUGGGAGAAGCAUAGGAAAUAAAAAAAUUUACAACAUCUCUCCAUGGAGGAUACACAGGGAAUGGCAUUUUUUGGUCCAGAUUCAGGAGAUUUCCAGCUCAGGUAGUUUUCACACUACCUUUAGUGGGGCUUGUAUGUUGUCAGGAUGGGGUUCAUCACAUCAUGUUGAAUAAUCUGCAAAAAGCCCACCUUCCCACUCCGUUUUCCAGAUCUCCCUGGGAGACAGCAACAGGUAGCAUCCCUGAGAACAGGGCCACUUUGCUUCCUAAACCUAAGAAACAGGCUCUGCAUCAUACUUUGCUGAGAACUUGUCUCAGUCUAUAUGCUCAGUGGUACACAAAGUCCCCAAAAGGGAUUUAGCUGUCCUAGUAAAGCUGGCAGGAACUUGUCUAAUGUAAACUUUCCCAUGGAGAUUUUACACACAUUAGGGUGGAAAAAAGCCCCUUUUCUUGUUUUCCAACCGGUUUUAAGCAACAUCUGACUUUAUAUACUCAGACUAGAUGGAGUUGGUUUAAGAAUUUUCUUUUUAAAAAGGACAGCUCUGCCUCUGGAUGAAGAAAAAGUGACAAUUUUCUCCCUUGUAUAGCCAAAAUCCACGAUUCCCUUCCAGACAGGAACCAUAAAAUGCAAUGCAAUUGGUGUCCUCACUGGAUUUUAAACUUUUAGAUGUUUUGUAUUCAGUAAUCUUAACAUAUUGCACCCACACAUGUGUCAAAAAGCAUGUCUACAUGCAUGUGUAAUGUCAAAACAAAAUACAUAUUAAUAAUGUAUUAUGUCACUGACAAUCAGGGAUCCUUUCUGAGAAAGUGGAUGACCCGUAAUGCUCUUUGCUCGAAGCUGGUUCAGCAGCUCUCACUCUCUGCAUUCCCAUCAGUGGCCCCAAAAGGAAUCACAUUCUGAUGUCACCCAGCAAACACCACAGCAUAGAUCCAUGAUUUCCAUGUAUUUUGCAACCGACAGACUACCAACAGGCAUCAGGAUUUCUCCUGGACCACAGGGAGUCCUCGAACCCACAUUCCUAACCCCACCACAAGCACCAGUCCCAGGGGCCACCGCAGGCUCAUGCUAUGGCUUUGUGGGAGACCCAAGAUCACUUGAGCAGAGCUUGCGACCAGCGGCAUCACAUUUGCAAGCUCAGCACCUUCCACAUCAGGCCAGGUUGUUGUGCUGCUAAUACACACCUGCCUGCAUUUGCUCCAAGUCUGUGCCAAGCUAAAUUAAAAACCACCAAACAAACAAAAAAACCCAAACCACAAAACAACAAAAGCACCCAAAAAAACCCCCCAACAACAAACCAAAAUCCCCAACCUGUAAAAAUUACAGCAGUUUAAUUAUGUCAGCUAACUUCUGUCCUGUCACCUUAUUUAACAGUCUUGUCUCAGUUAGUAGCACACCUAUUGUGCUCAGGAGUAAAGCAACACAAGUAUGAGAGGCCAUAUCACCUUUCAAAUUUAUUAGACCUUUGAUAUGGGCUAAUUUCUCCUGUUAGAGAAACAUGAAGACAGGCUGCAAACCUCCCUUCUGGUCAUGAGGGCUUGGCAAGAAACAUCAUUCUCCUGCUGGCUAUAGAGAGACUUCUCCCAUCAGCUGCUAUGCGUGAGCUGCAAAAAAUGUCUUCCUACAGCUGUUGAAGAAUUAAAUCUGUUUGCUAUGUAUUUCAGAAUAGAAGCUUUUAGGUACUUUAUGCAAAGUGGCCCUCUCUCAUCCGAGACCCUCUAUUUUUCUUUCUUAAAUCAUUUGCCCAAACCUCACUAAUAUCUCUUUUUCAUGAGGCCAAAUGAGUGAAAUUUCGAAGGAUGUCUAUCUUGCAGGAACGAUUGAUCUCCAGGAGCAGGCUAAUGAAGUAAUCCUGCAGAGGAGCAGUAGUGCCCUUAACACUCUGUACUCCGCAAGAACACCCAGUCCAAUGAGUCAGUACAAAGCACUCUCAUAUUAACCUGCCUCUGAAGUUUAGAAUUGUAUACAAGGGUCUCUGAGCCUAUCUUUCACCCAGAGAUUCGGGAAAUUCCAGGCACCAAUCCUGCUCAUAAAUUGCAGAGGAAUACAUGAGGUGAGUCUCAGCAUGAGACACUCCUGCUGGAGCAACUGUGUGGAAAUACUGAAUACAAGAAAAGAUACGACAGGGUUGUGCAUGUGAACAGAUGGGGAUUUGCUUGUGUGUCAUUAUCAGACAUGAGCAAGAUCUUAAAUGGUGAAAGGUCAUUUGGAAAAGUCAUGGGACACCUCUAGCAUCAAGAGAAGAAAAAGAAAGCUCUGACACUCUGAGGCUCACUGUAUUAUUUAGAAUAACAAUCAAAGCCACCUGCUAGAGAAGCAAGACAAUAACUGUAAGCGGACCAAACCCACUAAUAACAUCUCCUACCUACAUUUUUACCAUUUAUGUAAUAUAGACUUAUAAACCUACAUAUAGUAGUUAGAAACCAAACCAAGAUCAGUACUGCAUAACUGUAUUCGCUCAGCAGAAGAGAGAUCCUCCGUUUUAAUCAGCUUCCAGGUUAGAAGAAAUAGGAACAGCAGGAAAAGCCACUUGUUUGAAUAUCAGAUCACAGAGUAAUGCCAGAGAAGAGAGGCGAAGCCAUUUCAAGUGCAUCGCCAUAAUGCUUGGGUCAUGCUGCUACCCAAAUUAGAGCUUCAGUUUUCCAAAAAUACUUGGGAGUAGUGCAGAAACUCAAGUGAUUACUUAAGGGAAAUGCCGCUAUUAUAAAAAAUGCUCGUUCCAAAACCAAAAUUGGUUGGUGGUCAGCUGAAAGAUUUCUUUUGUUAUUAGAGAUUUCUUUUGGUGGUGGUGUUGCUGCUGCUGCAAUUAAAUGGAAAGGUUUCUAUUAUGAUGUUAACAUCCUUGUUUGUAUUACUGAUUAAAUAAAUAGUUCAAUUCUUUCCCCCAGAACUAAGCCACAUCCAUUUUUCCAUGGUAGACCUCAGUUUCAAUGAAAAUCAUUUCUGGAGGAAAAACAUUCUGUUGGAAAAUAGUGACCAACUCUUAUAAUCAUGGUUGAAAAUCCAAACACACCCAGAUGUACUGCAUAUGCCCUCGUUAUCUUUGGGAUGUACGAGUAUUUGUGGGGCCCUCACAUACAGCCAUGGUAUUUUGAAUGGAGAAAGGUGAAGCAAGAAUCUGUGUAGGGAGUUUCUCUGCUUGGCCCUGAAAGAACACCUCUUCCCUCCACCCCUGAAAGACCACUUUUCCUCUCAACUCCAUGCUUUUUACCACCUCACCCCCAGUUUACCCUCUUGUCAUUUCCUCUUGCCCUCUUCCCGCCAUAUCACAUUUCCAGUUCAGAAUUUGUAGAUCCACAAUUGUUUAAAAAGCAGCUCAAACUUCCAACUUAUAAACAUUGCUUCCUCUGUCUCCUGAAUUUAUUUUAAUAGCUGAUAUUUGAGCCCAGGGGAUUGUUUUAACUAACACUGUAUAGUCAGAAGGAAUCACUUUCCUCCAGGCUACCUCUAGGUCAAUAGCAUAAGGCAAGACCCCCUCACAUUUCAUUACCCAGGGAUCAGAUCCCCUUUCCCAAUCCAUCACUCCGAAGCUCGUUCCUCCUAUUCCUCUCAGAUUUGCUUGUAUGAUUCAUGUGGUGCCAAAUCAACAGUAUAUUUGCUUUUUUCUCAGUUCAUUGUUUUUAUUUGCUUACAUGUUCCCUGUCGUAGUUCAACCCAUAAAUCAAUGCUGGUUUAUUUUUUACAAACCCGUUGAAAAUUUGAGCCAGUUUCCACUGCUAUGAAAGACUCCCAAUACUACAUGUCCUUUAACAGGUGGAAAAUGUCUUAAGAGGCUGUUUGGAUGGGAACGAUUUUCUAACUUAAAGACAAAGUAGUAUUUAUUUAUGACUUAAUCUAAUUCCAAAACAAAGUAACAGUUCCCUGCACCAAAUUAUCUCCUUAUGAUGCUA